UAGCGGAACUCCUACGGGAGGCAGCAGUGAGGAAUAUUGGUCAAUGGGCGCGAGCCUGAACCAGCCAAGUCGCGUGAGGGAAGACGGUCCUAUGGAUUGUAAACCUCUUUUGUCGGGGAGCAAAAGACGCCACGCGUGGCGUUCCGAGAGUACCCGAAGAAAAAGCAUCGGCUAACUCCGUGCCAGCAGCCGCGGUAAUACGGAGGAUGCGAGCGUUAUCCGGAUUUAUUGGGUUUAAAGGGUGCGCAGGCGGAAGAUCAAGUCAGCGGUAAAAUUGAGAGGCUCAACCUCUUCGAGCCGUUGAAACUGGUUUUCUUGAGUGAGCGAGAAGUAUGCGGAAUGCGUGGUGUAGCGGUGAAAUGCAUAGAUAUCACGCAGAACUCCGAUUGCGAAGGCAGCAUACCGGCGCUCAACUGACGCUCAUGCACGAAAGUGUGGGUAUCGAACAGGAUUAGAAACCCUAGUAGUCCACUUAUG
rnacentral:rRNA from 1 species